AUACUUACCUGGUAAGGGAGAAACAAUGAUCAUGAAGGUUGUGCUCCCAGGAUGAGGCUAUCCCAUUGCAUUCAGGGUGUGCUGACACCUGCGAUGUCACCAAAUGCGAGAUACUCGACUACAAAAUUUGUGUUAAUGGGGGACUGCAUUUGUGUUCUCCCCUA